GCUUCAAUGAAUUGGAUAUUUCAUACAAGUAUUAGAGGUCUGGAUCCAAUUUUUUCAAUUCGUCUCCCAUGAUCCGUUGGCAUUCAAAUUAUGGCUUCAUCUUCCAUUUCAAUGAAAAAAGUUUAAGUGGAUUCGCCCAAAAUUAAAUGCCAAACUUAGUUUUAGCGGUUAGGACCUAGCUGUGUUGCAUUCCGAAUUGCACUUGUUUAUUUGUUUUUUUUCUUUUCUUUUUAGAAUGGCAAAAUAUAUGACUCUCCAUGUCUGUGGCAUCAAGCUCACAACUGUAGGCAUUAUUAAGUAUAGGAGAAAUCAUAGAAAUUUAAAAGAACUUCAAUUUUUCAACAGGUGGAAGUGGAACCACACAACUGUAGACAUUAUUAAGUGCACAUAUUUUGUAGUUUAUCUUGCAUUUUCCAAAACCCCAAGCCUCCUACUGCUACUGGACCUUGAUAACAGCAAGUUGAAUAUCAGAAAGGAAUGUGUUUCAGACUUCAAGUAGAUGCAUAUAUUUUUUGAGCUUAGCGUAGUCUUCUGGCAACUCUGCUAUUGCAGAGUGUUGAAGAAGCUGAAUGUUAGAGUGCAUAUGAGUCUGUGACCGAUGUUUAUAUGGCUUCUUUUGACCGCAUAAAGCAUCCUGAGGAGGUAAGUAUAGUUUAUGUUAGUGUAGAAAAUUUUUACAACUUGGUUGUCAUCUGUUGUUCACUAAAGUUCUAUGCUGUAGGGUGUUCUAAGAGAGGAACACAGAGGAACAGUACAAAAAACACUUGCUGCAUUUAAUGCCAGUGCUGUUAGAGUUGGCUCAGCACAAAAAAGUAUGAAAAGCUUAUUCAGCAAUUUUUCAAAAAGGCAUUUGAGGUCUUCUAGAAAAUUACAAAUUGUCAGCUGAAAGAAUGUAUUGCUUUACCCAUAUAAUUCCAAGUAGAUCAAGGACUCUCUUCCAAAUUCCUGCAGAAUCCACAAUGGGUGAAUAGAUGCUUAAUUGAUUCCUACGCCACACAGAAGAGGCACUCAUUUGUGAUCAUUGUCUUCCUUUCUGGAGUAGGUUGAUAUUAAGCAGUUUCCUUUUUGCAGCUACCAGCCUAAAACACCAAUUUUGGCUUUCCUGGAAAUUGCCAAAUAUGUCCCACUCGGUUAGCGGUGCCUCCUCUUCCACUUUGUUUCAAAUACAUGAUAAAAAGACUAGACCAAGAAAGAUCUAUUUCAAAGAAAAUUCCAAUGCCACUUGUCACUCUGCCCCAUGCACAAAGAGCGAAGUUGUAACUUCUCCUGAAGGCUAACAAAAUCUGCUAUUUCCUUUUCUGAUGUACUUUAAAAGAAAUAUAAUAUAUUAAUGUGGCCAAAAACCAGAUUCACAAAAGUGAUGUUAUUUCUCUCAAUAUUUGAUGUUAAGUGGUUAUACUCCAAGCUUUUGUAUAUUGUACAUUUGUUGUAAUUCUCCGAGAGAGGGAUCUGGUGAUUCAUUAUUAUUGGUUAGAUGAUUCUUGACUGAAA